GACGUAGGGCGCGAGCGUUGUCCGGAAUUAUUGGGCGUAAAGGGCUCGUAGGCGGUUUGUCGCGUCGGGAGUGAAAACACGGGGCUUAACCCCGUGCCUGCUUCCGAUACGGGCAGACUAGAGGUAUGCAGGGGAGAACGGAAUUCCUGGUGUAGCGGUGAAAUGCGCAGAUAUCAGGAGGAACACCGGUGGCGAAGGCGGUUCUCUGGGCAUUACCUGACGCUGAGGAGCGAAAGUGUGGGGAGCGAACAGG
rnacentral:rRNA from 1 species